UGCGACGACGCAUGCAAAGACGCGCCCGUCAGCGACAUCAAGAACGCCUGCAUCACCAAGAGCUUCGAGUUUGAGAAGCUGCUGCGCGUCACGCUCGACCUCAUCACCGAUGCCUCAGGGUCCAUGUCGGCCGAGGUCGCACUGCCUCCGUCGGCGGCAUCGGGCGCCAGCGGGCCGGCACCGGCGCCGUUCGGAGGUUACGGCUCGUCCGCUGGCGCCCCGGCCUACGGCGCGCCGUCUCCUGCUGGUGACCCAGCUUAUGGCGCCAGCGGCUCGCCGGCACCAACCCCGCUGUAGAGUGUACUGCUUCCGACGCGUACGCGACUGCAUGCAUGAGCGAUAUAUAAUGUCACCUUGGUGCAGACUCCUGCGCUCCGAAGGAUUUUUUAAAUAUUUUUAAAUAUUUUUAAUAGGAUCUGUUGGCUCUGAUUCGGGCCAAACACUAGGGGUUGUAUGAUUGUAUCUCUGAUGGUGCUCGGCGGCGAGGACGGCAGAAGGUCCGCGACCCUGCUGCAAGCAAGUCUUCUCUCCUGCUGGCUGGAUGGUCCGUGGUUUAGGCUGGACGGUACGCGAACGCACAAAGGGUCGAAGAACCCUAGAACUCACUCCAGGAGGGAUCCCACAGGAGAGUUCUAGAGAGGGUGCCCUAGGAACGGCAGGCCACCCAGGAGGUCCUUAGACGACGAAGAGUCGAAGAGAGAUGAAUAUUGGAGGUUUGGAAAAAGCUAAGCUAGGUCUAAAUUACGUCACCUCCUAAUACGAUAAAAAACGAAGGAAAUAAAGUAGAUUUGAUUGAUUGGUUCGAUUGGUGAUACUCGCAAUCGUAUGUACCCCUUCAUAUAUAUAGGGAGAGGUCUGGAUCAGUUCCUAGGUGUUUAUCAAUAAAAUUUGCGUAUUUAGUUGGAUAAACACACACAAAAAGAGAUAUUUUAUCUUAUCUUUACUAUAUUAAAGCAUCAGUUUCAACGGUCGUCCCGCGUCAUUCUUUUAUAAAAAACCACUUUUAUUUGUUUGAAAUCAACCCGCGACUCUCUGUCUCACCCGAAGGAAUAGACGGAUGGAUAGCCCAUAGAACACAGACACCCUCCCUUUCUCUCCGUACUAUCUACAACUCCAAUCUCCUUCCCCUACCUAUUCGCCACCCCUGUCUCUUGCCCCCUCACCCACCGCCGCCCCACAGCCAACGCGCUGCCUCCGUCUCUCUCUUCUCCGCUGCCAUGACAGGAAGAUUGCUGAAUCCGCACAUAAUAUAUAAAAAAACGUAGUAAAACACGGGCAACUCGCUAGUCUAAUCUAAUCGCGGAGCGUACGGGCUAACCCGCGGACCGUACGAGGCAUAGACCGUCCUGGCCACAUGGCCAGAUUGUCCGGCCUUCCUAGGUGCCACAUAUGGUGCUCAACACAAGCCCCUGCCUUUUGGGGAAGCUAAGAGAACCAAAAGCACCAGGUACAGAUUGUUAUCAACUCAAUGUGAGAACAUCAAUUUUCUAAGCAUCUUACCAAACACAGGUAUGAUAUAGCUUCAGAAAACGACCAUUCAAUGUCUUAGAUAACUCAUCACCCUACAAUGUUUGCAGCAUGUAUGCAUUACCAAAAAUUACCUCUGUCGCUCUAUAACGCCCUUCCCAACUUGGUGACCAUUUGCCAAACUUCCAGUCCCUGUUCCUCAGUGGCAAGACUGUCUUCUAACUAGAUCUCUAACUCGAAAUGAUUUAGCUUUUAUCUUCUUUUUGUAGACCUUAGCAACCAUGAUAUUGUCUUUCUCAAUCUCCUUUAGAGCCAUCAGCCUCUUGUCAGCCACCUCAUCAAUAUUGUCCAUCAUGAGAUCAUGAUAAUCACCGACAGCUAGAUCAUUUUGCCUAGCAAAUCUGAUAGCAUUUCGGCUUACCUCAACAGGCAAAACAACUUUCUACUCAUAAACAAGCUCAAAAGGAGAUACUUUAGUAGCACAAUGUUUAUAUAUUCUAUGAGCCCAUAAAGUCUCAGACAAAACUUAUGAUGAUUAACUAUCUUUUUUUAAUAAGGCUAAUUAACGUCCUAUUACUUGACUCGGCCUAACCAUUGGCCUGAGCAUAGUAUGGAGACGAAUUGAGCAACUUCAUCUUAUAUGAUCCAGGAAACUCAUGUACCUCAUUUGACAUAAAAGAGUCCCCUAGUCUGUAGUCAAAGUUUGGGGGGAUGUCGAAUCUAUUAAAAAUGUGCUCGAUUACAAACUCAAUUACCUUCCUAUGUGUCAUGUUCUUUAGAGCAACGACUUCAGUCCAUUUGGUGAAAUAAUCUGUGGCAACCAGUACAAACUGAUGCCCCUUUGACAAUCAAGGAUAAAUCUCUCCUGCAAAGUUCAAACCACAUCCCUAAAGACCAAGGUUUGAUAAUAGGAUGGAGUUCGAUAGCAGGAACUAAUUGUAGAUCGCCGAACUUCCGACACACCUAACAUUUUUUGUAGUACCUAAAAUAAUCAGCUAUCAUUUCAGACCAAUAGAAUCUAGCUCUCCUCAAAAGUCAUUUCAUCUUUGGAGACGAUUGAUGGGUACUACAAAUUCCCUCGUGUACUUCAUCCAUAGAUAAUGUAGCAUCAUCAGGGCCGAAGCACUUAAGCAAGACAUCACUAGGAGUUUGACAAUAAAGUUCAUCAUUAAUUAGAACAUACUUGAAAGCUAUUCGUUGAAUGUUCCUACCUGUCCUAACACUUGGAUCGCGAAGGUAUGCAACCAAAGGCAUCCUCCAAUCGACUGCAGCGACCACAUCGUUAGCCGAAUCAAUCAAGUCUAUGCUUAUGUUAGUGGCGGACGAUCCAUGACCCAGGUUGGACGGUCUGACGCCAGUCCGAGUGCUCCGCUCGGACGGGCCGCGACCUAGGAACUCAGCGCUGAUUAUCAGAUUUUCAAAAAUAUGGAAUUUCUCUCACGUUACCCAUUAACCUGAAGCUUCGUGCAUUAAGUCGUUAGCUAUGAAAUUCUCAGCUCUAGAUAUAUGCUGAAUGUCAAAUUCGUCAAAAGAGCGCACUAUGUCACAACAUCUUUCAAGGUAAUCAAUCAAAAUACCAUCUAAACACUGAUAUUCUUCUUAAAUCUGUUGGACAACCACCUGAGAAUCACCAAAUAACUUUUACAUGUGUUACUCCCUUAUAAUUUAAAAGUUCUAAAUUAAAAAAGAGAGCUUCAUAUUCGGCUUGAUUGUUAGUACAAUAAACUAUCAAUCAGACAGAGAAGUCAAAAGUGACGUUCCUUAGUGAAACUAGCACGAUGUCAAUCCCUUGUCGUUCAUUGCAAACCGAUCCAUUAAAAUACAGAGAGUCUAGGGAGUAACAAUAAGAUAUGAAACAUCUAGCUCUGGAAUAUCAUCAAUCUGAUGUUCUAUAGUAAAAUCAACUACAACAUGGCCUUUCAUAGAUUUCUAUGACUCAUAGGCCAAGUCAUAUUCUAUAAGUGUGUAAGCCCAUUUACCUUCUGCCACUCAUGAUUGUGUUUUGCAACAUAUAUUUAAUUACAUCGGCCUGACAGGAAACAAUACAAGAGCUGGAUAAUAAAUAACAUCUAAGUUUAGUGUAUGCAUAAAACAAGCAUAAACAUAAUUUCUCAAUUAAGAUGUACCUUGUUUCAACAUCUACCAACCAUCGACUUAGAUAUGUCACAACAUGCUCCUUUCCUUUGUUUUUUUGAGUCAGAACAACUCCAAUGACUUGAUUUUCCGCUGCAAUAUAUAAUCUAAAAGAAAAUUCACUUUUAGGUGCUUUCAACACUUAGACCGAAUAUAGAUAAUCUUUGAAAUCAUUAAUUUUAAGUCGAAGAAUAGGCGUGAAAGCAUUAAAUUUUCCAAAGAAUAGACAUUAUUUUUAAGCCAAAAUGAAAUCAACAUUAUUAAACCAAGUGAAAUUGGUACUAUUUUAAGCCGAAAAAUAGGAGUGAAAGCUUUAAUUUUUUCGGCCAAGUUAGAAAUAAAUCUCCACAAAUAGUUCACCUUGCCAAGAGAACUUUGCAUUUCAAGUUUACAAGUUGGAGCCCCCACAUUCUGAAUGACUCUAAUUCAUCUCGGAUCUACUUCUAUGCCAUGCUCAUGAAUAAUAAAUUCUAAAAACUUGCAGCCGACACACCAAAGGCGCAUUUACGCGGGUUCAUUUUUAAACCAUACUGUUGCAUCUUAUCAAAGGCUUUGCACAAAUCGUCUAGCUGAAAAUCAAACGAAGCCAAUUUGAUUAUUAUAUCAUCAAUAUAGACUUUCACAAUGUUUCCUUAUAAAUCAUGAAAGAUUAAAUUCAUAACCCUCUGAUUAAGUAGUGCUAGCAUUUUUAAACCAAAUGUCGUAACGAACGACUCAAAUAAACCAAUAAAGCUUAGACAUAUAAAGACCAUUUUAGAAGCAUCUUCCUCGGCCAUAAAAAUCUGAUUAUAUCUAGCAUUACCAUCAAGAAAAUUAAUAACUCUAUUCCCUGAUGCAUUAUUAAUCAAAAUGUCAGUUAUAAGCAUAGGAUAUUCAUCUUUAGGAGUUUAUCUAUUUAAAUUACGAAAAUCAAUGCAUACUCUAAGCUAACCAGAACCUUUUUUAUCCAUUGGCACAACGUUAGAACCCAAUCUGCAUAUCUAAAAUGUCUAAUAAAGUUAGCCUCUAAGAGUCGAUGGAUUUCGUCCUUAAUCUUAGGGAUCAAAAAUUUGAACGAAACAGUCAUGAUCUUUGCUUAAAUGGCCUGAAACCGGGCUUAAUAGACAACCUAUGCUCUACUAGAUCUUGGCUUAAUCCUCACAUCUCAGUAUAACUCCAAACAAAGCAAUCAGAGUACUCUUUGAAUAAUCCGAUUAUUUUGUCCCUAGGUUCGGAUUUUAGGUUCUCGUUCACAAAAGUCGGUCUCGCAGUGCUACCAUCUUAUAUGUCAACUUUCUCCAAAUAAUCGGCCAUUGUAUAUUCCUGUCCUAACUUGUCCAAAUAUAACACGCCAGGUGUUAUCAUCUAGGGUCCCUAUCAUCUGUUAAGCAACGAGCCAACGAAUAUAGAUCUCAGCGAGAAAUAUCGGCGUAAGUAAUGAACUCUUUAUCCGAUGCAUAUGUGACCAUCGAGAUCAUGAAAAGAAUUCACAAUCUUUGGAAAUAAACAAUCUUCAAGUUGAAGGGUUUUGAACCAGGUGAAUCGCUCGUGUAAAUGAAGCCAAAUUUGGACAACACUAAAUUUUCGUAAUUUAGACCGCGCGUGUACUCGCGCGAGGCUUGAAAUUGGAGUUGUUUUGUCCAGCACGUUAUUCUUGGUGUGAAAACAGGUGUUGGAAUUGCGGAUGGAAGCAUCUAAUUCCAAAUUGAAUUAAACAUAGUCUAUAAUAGCGUACCUGAUAUUGCUUUGAUGUGAUUCUCUUAAUCGUUUAUAUCUCAUUCAGGCUUAAAAUCGAGAACCCGGAUAAAUGUGCUUUCUUUGUGUAAAAAAGAGAGAAGAGAAUAAAAAAGUAAAUACAAAAUAAAAAAGGGAAACUCUUGUUUCUCUUAUUCUAUCGCCCUCUCUGCUCUUGUUCACGACAUCGUCAUCCCAGCCAUCAUGAGCCGCCACCGGAAAAGAAAUGAUCAUGAAAUUUUUGUUCUGACUCCCACCAUGACAAAAUAGAAUUAGGAGGUAAUGUGGCGUACCAUUCGAACGUGGUUCCUGUUAAAGACAAUGAAAAUAAACGCACGUGGAAUGCUUCUAUGUCGGCCAAUUCUCCUAAUUAUGCUAGAAAUUGGCCUAUGUGUUCACACGUGCUUUUUCUUUGGUCAUCCGAAAAUUUUAUGAAUUCGGGUAUCCUGGUUCCCUGUGGAUAUGGGUGGUGAUCAAAUCGGCUGUCAUAAAGUUUCCAAUAUGAUUACCCCCCCAGGGACCAUGCUUACUUCGAGCUUAUCUCGGAACACCCCGGCUAUUUCUUCCCUCACUAUAUGAAUGGCAGCCGGUGCGAGACCACCGACUCUCUAGUCAACCAUAGGUGGGGUUGACUGGAUAUUAGCAUGUUGUCUUCCCCCAUUGGUUUGAGUUAUAUGGUGCAUUACUAUUUGCCCUAUAUGGUUCAUAGGAUUGACCAUUCCUUUUCGCCUUCUAGGCGGGGCCGGAAAGUACUCGCUCCCAUGGGCCUGAACUCCAUAUUAAUGGGCUGGUGCAUUGUAUAGUGUGAAGGGAAAUGUUGCUGAGACAGGUGAGGAUUUAGGUAACGAUCUUCCUCCAACAUCCCUAUGCCGGACCGUCCGGUCGGAUACGCGGACCGUCCGGUCGGAUAUGCAGACUGUCCGUGAUCAUAUGCGGGCGGUCUGUUUGGGUGGUUUAGGGUUUGUGUGACAUGUGGCAGCUCGGACACAUAUCUCGAUAACUCAUUAAAAAUAGGACCGGCCAUUGCUGGCCCGGACGGUCCGCGCUCACGUGCGGACAGUCCGGACAUGUGCAGAUCGGCUAAUGUACUGCCGAUUUGUGGUUGCUCAGGGUACGUUUCCAUCGGCAUCCCAUAAAGGGGUUGUGACUGGUCGUGACAACCUGUAGCCGAUGAAUUACGUGUAUUUUCCCCCAAUUCAACCUCAUGCGAAGUAAAAUUUGCAACAGUGGAUUUAUCAAACACACGUACUAUCCUUUUAUAAUCCUUUUGUAUACCCCUACAAUAUGUUGCAUUUGUUCUUGUUGUUCAUCUAUGUAAGCAUUAAGAGAUUGGAGCUCGUUGGUGUUACUUACAUUGGGGAUAUCUGGUGUGGGUCGGAGCGAAGCCGGAUCAGUUGCCCGUUGCCGAACGACAUUGUUGUUCCUGUCCACCUUGAAGUUUUCCAGGAAUUUCGCCUUCGCUUCUUGGAUCAGCUCCUCCUUGUGCUCCUCGAACUGGAGCUGUUCGUCAGCCGGCAAGGUCUCCCAAGUCGACUCUAUAAUAUUGCUGUGGGAGAUGUCAGAGCUAUCCCUUGAACCGGCCAUUGAGGGCCGAUUUGACGAGUCUAUAUGUGUUUUCCCCAGCGGAGUCGCCAAAAAGUGUGUUUGUGCCUUUUUGGGGCGCCAAUCACUGCGUGGGAGCCGGCGGCGGUGCUCGCUGCACAGGCGCAGAUGGUCCGCGAACUGGGACAGGGCUUAGGGUUUCCUGCCUGACGGCCGGACGGUCCGUGCGUGCGCAGGGGCAAUGGGAGUCACCGGCGGCACCUGGAUCUCGCUCCCGGGAGGGACCCCAUCGGGGAGGAGAGAUCCUAGGUGUUGUCUAGGCUCGGCAGGCCGACCUAGACUCCUCUAAUCGACGUAGAGUCGAAGAGAAGCGGAGAAUUUGGGGAUUAGAAGGCUAAACUAGAACUAGACUAGAACUACUCCUAAAUGUACAAGAAAUUAAUGUGAAAUAAAUUGAUUAUUGAUUCGAUUGAUGAUUACAAAUCGAUCGUAUUCCUCUGUAUCUAUAGAGGAGGAGGACUGGACCCGUUACAAACAAACUCCUCGAGCUAAUUCCGAGAAUCUAGCCGACAAACACAACAAGAAACUCGGAACCCUAAUCGGUUCUGCGCGCCCACGGACUGUCCGGACCCGCGGCACGGACCGUUAGACCCUCUAUUUGGUGCUCAACACAUACUACUUUAAGACCCACCUAUUCAUCCACUCUCGUAUGUGUCCUUGUCUGUCUUGCAGAUGGACACCGCUAAACCACGGAGGCCACACCGUCCAACCGCGUUGCGCUGCCGCCCUCCUAUCGCCGCCGUGCCACAUCAUCAGCCUCUCGUCGCACCACUAGAGAUGGCAACGGGGAAUUUCCCAUCGGGUUUUAGCUCCCCAUCUUCAUCCACGCGACAAAAAAAUUCCCCACAGGAUCCCACGAAUGCUUGUCGGGGACAUUUCUUCCCCAUCCGCAUUCCCUUUGAAGAUAAAUCCCCGUCGGGAUCCUCGUCCCUGCUUAAAUUAUAACUAGAUCGUACUUCAUUUGUUAUAAAUGUAAAACAUUGUCACUUAUAGAUGUUGUUAGAUGUAUGUCACACACGGUUUUGAAGGUAAACCAAAUGCGAACCAUGUACGCGCUAGGAUCAAAAAUUCACGUACACAGCGAUUACAUAAAUGACUCAUCAUAGCACAAUGCUUUGAAUAACAUUAAAGAAUGAGUAAUAAUAUUAGACUACAGUCAUUUACAUAAUAUAAAUCAAAGUACACAGAAUCGAAACAUAGCCAACGUAAACAAACCCACCACAGGCAGCUGACUGGGGGAGGUCGCUAGCCUAAUCCUCGAACUCGUCGAAGUCCCGGAACUCCUGGAGAUCCGCCUCGACACCUUCUUCUUUACCUGAGCAUAGAUUUCACCAAAGGCAACCUGGUGUUUUGUGAAAGCAAGGGUGAGUACACAUUAACAUACUCAGCAAAUGUCCCGUUUGGUUGAAGUGGACUAGCUUUAUGUGGAGUUAGGAUCAAGCAGUUACUUUUAGUUGGUCAGGUAAUUAUUACUAGCAUAGAGCCAGGUUUUAGCAUUAACCCAAGUUGUUAACCCAAAAGUACUCUUUCCAAACGGAAAGAAUACCAGAAACCAUAAUCAUAACCAUAAUCUAAUCAUAAUCAAAACCAUCAUUAUCCUCAUCAUCACUUGUAAACAAAGUAUCUCUGAUCAAUGUGUCUCUAAUCAAUGGAGCUCCCUUGGUCGCUCAUAACCGCGAGCACGACUGAUAUAUCAGUUUCAUAACACUCUGCAGAGGUUGCGCACUUUACCCACGAGCCGUGAUUCCCUCUCUAGCCCGGGCUAGCAAGACCCUUGUUCACUCCCGAGGUGAAUGGCCAGGGAUUCACUAUGAAGCCUUUACAAAGAUUCCCUGAGGCUGUAGCCACCCGUUAGGUUUCCUAAAUGUAUCACACUCCUCCCCAAGGGGCAAUCCACCCUCGACAGAGCGAGCCGCAUACACCGAGCCCCAUUGACGGCACGACGGCGAAGCGAACUACACCCAGUUCCUCUAAUUAUUCAGCUAAAGGCAUCCCAUACCACCCUCAUGGUUGCACUAUUUUCCCGGGCAGUCAUCCAACAAACCAGUCCUUACGGAGAGGCACUCGAGAAACCGCUCGAGUCUUCUUAAAUGUCACAGUAGCAUCAUCAUGAUCAAAAGGGAAAACAACGUAUCAUAAAUAAUCUCAUCAUGUUCAUUGAUUAAAGUUUAGCAAUAGCAUGAAUCUAACCAUAGUAACCCAAAAGGUAAUCAAGGACAAGGUAAAUACAAAGCUAGUCAAUCCUUAGGUUGAUCAUGGUAUGCAGGUUGAUGAAUUAUAAAUUAAAUGGGACAUAAUAGGUGAGAGCACCUAGAGGGGGGGGUGAAUAGGUGAUCCUAUAAAAUUCAAACACUAAUAGCCACAAAACUUAGUUAUGAGUGUUAAUACGGCUAAAUUAACUUGAAGCGAGUUCUUGUGAACACAAAGAAUCACAGAGAGAUCAACAUAAGACACGCGAUUUUUAUCCCGUGGUUCGGCCAAGUAACACUUGCGUACUUCCACGUUGUGGCGUCCCAAUGGACGAGGGUUGCACUCAACCCCUUUCAAGUGAUCCGAUGAUCAACUUGAAUACCACAGUUUUUUCUUUAGAUGAUUAUUCCCGUUUGCGAGGAAUCUCCACAAGAUUGGAGUUUCUCGCCCUUACAACAAAGAUCACAAUGAAAGUACGGAGUAAGGUUGGGAUGAGCAACACACACAAGACACAAAUCACAGCACACCCACGUACACAAGAGAAGACUUGAGCUCAAAUGACAACACAAGGAGUCCUUGACUCGAAUAGAGCUCAAAUCUCUAACACAACGAAACGAAUGCGCGGGAACAUAGACUAGAUGCCUUAGGAUGCUUAGUGAAUGCUUGGGUUUCUCCUCCAUGCGCCUAGGGGUCUCUUUUAUAGCCCCAAGGCAGCUAGGAGUCGUUGAAGACAAUCUUGGAAGGCUAAUCUUGCCUUCUGUCGUGUGGUGCACCGGAUAGUCCGGUGCACCACCGGAUAGUCAUUGUAGCUGUCCGGUGCGCGACUGCCUUCCAAUUAAGGCACAGUCGACCGUUGCAGCUUCGGGCCCGAUGGCGCACCGGACAGUCCGGUGCACCCUGCCGACUGUUGGUGUGGGCCACGCAUCGCCCACGGAUUGCGCGGCCGACCAUUGGCUCACCGGAUAGUCCAGUGCACCACUAGACAGUCCGGUGAAUUAUAGCCGUACGCCCCUGAUCUUUUCCUGAGAACGACCUUUUCAUCGGAGACCAGCCUGGCGCACCGGACACUGUCCGGUGCACCACCAGACAGUCCGGUGUGCCAGACUGAGCUGAGUUUUGGCUGCACCGAGCCAAGUCUUUUUGGUUUCUUUUCUUCUUCUUUUCUCACUGUUUCUAGCACUUAGAUAACUUCAUUAGUAUUCAAAAACAAAUGUACUAAGUCUAGAAACGUAUCUCAUGCCUUGAUUUGCACUUCUUCAAUCUUUGGCACAUUAGGACUUAAAGAAUAUGUGUUGGGCACUUAAUCACCAAAACAUUAUAGAAAUGGCCCAAAGGCACAUUUCCCUUUCAAUAGGUCAGAGGACACUUGCCUUCACCAAACAGAUGCUCAGGGUCUUCGAUCUCGUAGAACUCGUAGAGUUUGAUCUCUUGGUCGCCGAAGCUUGAUCGUCGAUUCCUCGAAGCUCGGAAACGAACCGCGAUCUAUUCGCGAUGCAAAGCGAAGACAAACAGGCACAAGCAAACAAACAAACAUAUAUAUAUGCAUAAGAACAUUACACCAUGCCAAAGAGAACAUAAUAAAUCAUGUAAAACGAAAUAGAGCACGUUACUACAGUCACGCGAGGAAAAAGAAACACGAUAGUCGAAGCUACGAUCGAGAAGUUACUGCGUUUACGCUAAACAAAUAUCAAUCAGGAUAUUAGUUCAACAUAAUUAUAAUUACCUGAAUUGACAGUAUCAUAUCAAAUAUAAAUUAAAACUACUACUUAGCUUUUACUAUCUUACUAUUUUAAUAGUGGACGAUUAAACAAAUAGUUAAUUAAUUAACAUAAGUGAUUAUAAUCAAACGGUUUAAUAUCACGCGCGGACAGCGCGCGACACGCGAAACAGCACGUGCGACAUGCACGAACGCCGCGCGAACGGCGCGACGCCGCGCACAACACGCGCGAACAACGUGCGUGGCACACGCGAAGGAGCACACGGACAACGCGCACGACAAUGUGUGACCAACGCGCGGCAAUGCGCACUACACGCGAAAACGACGCGGGCAAACAGUGCGCGACAACGCGUGCAAAUAGCACACGCGACACUCACGAACGACACGUGACGACGCGCGCGAAACAACGUAAACGACGAGGGCAAACGACACGCGGAUCGACUCGUUACAACGUGCAAAACCGCGCGUGCGAUACCCGAGAUAAACUAAAUAAACGUCGCAUUUAUAUUAACCGAACAUUAGGGCAAAACAUUUGAGUUAAUAUUAAUCACGUUGACGUGUAUUUAUAAAGCGCAAGUUAAUAACCAUAAAUUAGUUUAAUUGAAAAGUCUAAUUAAUUAACGUUAGUUAAACAGAAACAUAAUUAAUUAUUUAAAACGUGAGACACGAUGAAACAAUGUUACUAACGCGUAGACAAUGCUAACCCCGCGAUGACGGCGGACGGCCGGACGAGUUCAUGGCGAAGCACGAGGACGUGCUGCGCGCACGACGCGAAGCGACGGCGAGGCUGCCGCUACACCGCGCAGAUUACGCCGGGGCUGCUGUGGGCACGAACGACGAUGGCAACGACGACACGCCGGGGUUACACAGGAUGCGCGCGAGGUUGCGCCGGGCACGCGCGAGCGAGUCGCGGGCACGCCAGCAACACGCAGGCCGCACCGAACGCGAGCGCGAGGCCGCGGCGGAGCAGAGCCUGGCCGCGUCGUGGCCGGACUAACCAUGCCAGCCGCGAGCAGCGGGUCGCGCCGACGCGCGCGAGGGCCGCACCAGGCGCACCGAGCGAGCCGCGCGCUUGCUGGCCGCGGGCCACCACGCCGGCUGGCCGUGCGCAGGGGGCGCUGCAGGGGGCCGAGGAGUGGGGCGCGAGCAUGGGGAGGAAGGAGAGGUAGAGCAGGACUAGGCAUGAACGGGGCGGCGUGGGGGCGGUUGACAAGGAAGACGCGGGGCGCCAAUGGGGGCGGCCUGGUGGCUAGGGCACGACGGCUAGGGUUGGGGGAGGGGCGCGCCUACGCCAGGUGGGCCGCGGGGGCGCGCGGGGAGCUGGGCCGUGGGGUGCGCGGGGUGGGCCUCGGGGAGCUGGGCCGCGAGCAGGCUGAAAGGGAGAGGGGGCUGAUUUCCCCCUUUUUAUUUCUUCUUCUUUUCUUUAUCCACUUCUUUUCCAACUUGAGCACAACUCACAAUUCUCAAUGAAUGCACAACAAAAUCACUUUUCAAACAAAAUACUCAUGUGUUCCAGCAUGAUACAACAAUCAAAACUCCUUUAGGAUUUUAUUUUACUUGGUUUACACAUUGAAAGGGAAUUAGGCUUACACCUAGUCCCUAAUUAAUUUUGGAGGUUGAAUUGCCCAACACAAACAAUUGGACUAACUUGUUUGCCCAAGUGUAUAGAUUACACAGGUGUAAAAGGUUCACACUCAGCCAAUAAAAAGACCAAGUUUUGGAUUCAAUAAAAGAGCAAAGGGCCAACCGAAGGCACCUCUGGUCUGGCGCACCGGACUGUCCGGUGUGCCACCGGACAGUGUCCGGUGUGCCACCGGACAGUGUCCGGUGCACCAGAGGACUCCAACGCAAACUCGCCACCUUCGGGAAUUUCCAGAGGCGACUCCGCUAUAAUUCACCGGACUGUCUGGUGUACACUGGACAGUGUCCGGUGCGCCAAGGGAGGUCGGCCUCAGGAACUCGCCAGCUUCGGGAAACUCCAACGACUAGUCCGCUAUAAUUCACCGGACUGUCCGGUGUGCACCGGACUGUCCGGUGCAACUCCGGAGCAACGGCUACUCGGCGCCAACGGCUACCUGCAGCGCAUUUAAUGCGCGCUCUGCGCGCGCAGAAGGCAGGCGCGCCCAUUCUGGCGCACCGGACAAUGAACAGUAGUUGUCCGGUGUGCACCUGACACCCAGGCGGGCCCACAAGUCAGAAGCUUCAACGGUCAGAAUCCAACGGCAGUGAUGACGUGGCAGGGGCACCGGACAUGUCCGGUGUGCACCGGACUGUCCGGUGCGCCAUCGAGCAGACAGGCUCCCAACGGCCACAUUUGGUGGUUGGGGCUAUAAAUACCCCAACCACCCCACCAUUCAUUGCAUCCAAGUUUUCCACUUCCCAACUACUACAAGAGCUCUAGCAUUCAAUUCUAGACACACCAAAGAGAUCAAAUCCUCUCCAAAUUCCACACAACGCCAUAGUGACAAGAGAGAGUGAUUUGCUUGUGUUCUUUCGAGCUCUUGCGCUUGGAUUGCUUUCUUCCUUCUUAAUUCUUUCAUUACGAUCAAGCUCACUUGUAAUUGAGGAAAGAGACACCAAACUUGUGGUGGUCCUUGUGGGAACUUUGUGUUCCAAGUGAUUGAGAAGAGAAAGCUCACUCGAUCCGUGGGAUCGUUUGAGAGAGGGAAGGGUUGAAAGAGACCCGGCCUUUGUGGCCUCCUCAACGGGGAGUAGGUUUGCAAGAACCGAACCUCGGUAAAACAAAUCCGCGUGUCACACUCUUCAUUUGCUUGCGAUUUGUUUUGCGCCCUCUCUCGCGAACUCAAUUUCUUUAUUACUAACGCUAACCCGGCUUGUAGAUUGUAUUUAUAUUUGUAAAUUUCAGUUUCGCCCUAUUCACCCCCCCUCUAGGCGACUAUCAAUUGGUAUCAGAGCCCGGUGCUUCAUUAGAGCCUAACCGCUCGAAGUGAUGUCGGGAGAUCACGCCAAGAAGGAGAUGGAGACCGGCGAAAAGCCCACUACAAGCUACGGGAGCACUUCAUCGGAAGAGUCCCGCACCAAGAGGAGGGAGAAGAAGAAGAGCUCCUCCAACAAAGGGAAGGAGAAGAAAUCUUCUUCUCACCACAAAGAGAAGAAGGAAAAAUCUUCUGCCCACAAGCCGCAUCGGAGUGGGGACAAGCAAAAGAGGAUGAGGAAAGUGGUCUACUACGAGACCGACACUUCAUCAACAUCGACCUCCGGCUCCGAUGCGCCCUCCGUAACUUCUAAACGCCAAGAGCGUAAGAAGUUUAGUAAGAUCCCCCUACACUACCCUCGCAUUUCUAAACAUGCACCUUUACUUUCCGUCCCAUUAGGCAAACCACCAACUUUUGAUGGUGAAGAUUAUGCUAGGUGGAGUGAUUUAAUGCGAUUUCAUCUAACCUCACUCCACAAAAGUAUAUGGGAUGUUGUUGAGUUUGGUGCACAGGUACCAUCGGUAGGGGACAAGGAUUAUGAUGAGGAUGAGGUGGCCCAAAUCGAGCACUUCAACUCUCAAGCGACAACAAUACUCCUCGCCUCUUUAAGUAGAGAGGAGUAUAACAAAGUUCAAGGGUUGAAGAGCGCCAAAGAGGUUUGGGAUGUGCUCAAAACCGCGCACGAGGGAGACGAGCUCACCAAGAUCACCAAGCGGGAAACGAUCGAGGGGGAGCUCGGUCGGUUCCGGCUUCGCAAAGGGGAGGAGCCACAACACAUGUACAACCGGCUCAAGACCUUAGUGAACCAAGUGCGCAACCUCGGGAGCGUAAAGUGGGACGACCACGAGGUGGUUAAGGUUAUUCUAAGAUCACUCAUUUUCCUUAACCCUACUCAAGUUCAAUUAAUUCGUGGUAAUUCUAGAUACACUAAAAUGACCCCCGAGGAAGUAAUCGGGCAUUUUGUAAGUUUUGAGUGCAUGAUCGAAGGCUCGAGAAAGAUCAACGAGCUUGACGAACCCACCACAUCCGAAGCUCAACCCGUCGCAUUCAAGGCGACGGAGGAAAAGAAGGAGGAGGCUACACCAAGUCGACAACCAAUAGACGCCUCCAAGCUCGACAAUGAGGAAAUGGCGCUCGUCAUCAAGAGCUUCCGCCAAAUCCUCAAGCAAAGGAGGGGGAAAGACUACAAGUCCCGCUCCAAGAAGGUUUGCUACAAGUGUGGUAAGCCCGGUCAUUUUAUUGCUAAAUGUCCAUUAUCAAGUGAUAGUGACAGGGGCGAUGACAAGAAGGGAAAGGGGAGAGAAAAGAAGAAAUACUACAAGAAGAGGGGCGGCGAUGCCCAUGUUUGUCGGGAGUGGGAUUCCGACGAAAGCUCAAGCGACUCCUCCGACGACGAGGACGUCGCCAACAUCGCCGUCACCAAGGGACUCCUCUUCCCCAACGUCGGCCACAAGUGCCUCAUGGCAAAGGACGGCAAACGGAAGAAGGUUAAAUCUAACUCCUCCACUAAAUAUGAGUCUUUUAGUGAUGAUAAUGCUAGUGAUGAGGAGGAUAAUUUGCGUACUCUUUUUGCCAACCUCAACAUGCAACAAAAGGAGAAACUUAAUGAAUUGAUUAGUGCCAUCCAUGAAAAGGAUGAUCUCUUGGACACCCAAGAGGACUUCCUGAUCAAGGAAAAUAAAAAGCAUGUUAAGGUUAAAAAUGCUUAUGCUCUAGAAAUUGAGAAAUGUCAAAAAUUAUCUAGUGAGAUAAGCACUUGCCAUGAAACAAUAGACAACCUUAGAAAUGAAAAUGCUAAUUUGUUAGCUAAGGUUGAUUCUCAUGUUUGCAAUGUUUCAAUUUCCAACCCUAGAGACAAUAAUGAUGAUUUGCUUGCUAGGAUUGAAGAAUUGAACAUAUCUCUUGCUAGCCUUAGGAAUGAAAAUGAAAAAUUACUUGCUAAGGCUAAAAAUUUUGAUGUUUGCAAUGCUACCAUUUCCAAUCUUAGAGAUAAAAAUGAUAUUCUUCAUGCUAAGAUUGUUGAACUUAAUUCUUGCAAACCCUCUACAUCUAUUGUUGAGCAUGUAUCUAUUUGUACUAGAUGUAGAGAUGUUGAUGUUGAUGCUAUUCAUGAUCAUAUGGCUUUAAUUAAACAACAAAAUGAUCAUAUAGCAAAACUAGAUGCUAAAAUUGCCGAGCAUAACUUAGAAAAUGAAAAGUUUAAAUUUGCUAGAAGAAUGCUCUAUAGUGGGAGACGCCCUGGCAUCAAGGAUGGCAUUGGCUUCCAAAGGGGAGACAAUGUCAAACUUAGUGCCCCUCCUAAAAGAUUGUCUAACUUUGUUAAGGGCAAGGCUCCCAUGCCUCAGGAUAACGAGGGUUACAUUUUGUACCCUGCCGGUUAUCCUGAGAGCAAAAUUAGGAGAAUUCAUUCUAGGAAGUCUCACUCUGGCCCAAAUCAUGCUUUUAUGUAUAAGGGUGAGACAUCUAGUUCUAGGCAACCAACCCGUGCUAAGUUGCCUACGAAAACUCCUAUUGCAUCAAAUGAACAUAGUCUCUCAUUUAAAACUUUUGAUGCAUCUUAUGUGUUGACUAACAAAUCCGGCAAAGUAGUUGCCAAAUAUGUUGGGGGCAAGCACAAGGGGUCAAAGACUUGUGUUUGGGUACCCAAAGUUCUUGUGUCUAAUGCCAAAGGACCCAAAACCAUUUGGGUACCUAAAGUCAAGAACUAAACUUGUUUUGUAGGUUUAUGCAUCCGGGGGCUCAAGUUGGAUACUCGACAGCGGGUGCACAAACCACAUGACAGGGGAGAAAAGGAUGUUCUCCUCCUACGAGAAAAACCAAGAUCCCCAAAGAGCGAUCACAUUCGGGGAUGGAAAUCAAGGUUUGGUCAAAGGUUUGGGUAAAAUUGCUAUAUCUCCUGACCAUUCCAUUUCCAAUGUUUUUCUUGUUGAUUCUUUAGAUUACAACUUGCUUUCUGUAUCUCAAUUAUGUCAAAUGGGCUACAACUGUCUAUUCACUGAUGUUGGUGUCACUGUCUUUAGAAGAAGUGAUGAUUCAAUAGCAUUUAAGGGAGUGUUAGAGGGUCAGCUAUACUUGGUAGAUUUUGAUAGAGCUGAACUCGACACUUGCUUAAUUGCUAAGACUAACAUGGGUUGGCUCUGGCAUCGCCGACUAGCCCAUGUUGGGAUGAAGAAUCUUCACAAGCUUCUAAAGGGAGAACACAUUUUAGGAUUAUCAAAUGUUCAUUUUGAGAAAGACAGGGUUUGUAGCGCAUGCCAAGCAGGGAAGCAAGUUGGCACCCAUCAUCCGCAUAAGAACAUAAUGACGACCGACAGGCCACUGGAGCUCCUACACAUGGAUCUAUUCGGCCCGAUCGCUUACAUAAGCAUCGGCGGGAGUAAGUACUGUCUAGUUAUUGUGGAUGAUUAUUCUCGCUUCACUUGGGUUUUCUUUUUGCAGGAAAAAUCUCAAACCCAAGAGACCUUAAAGGGGUUCUUGAGACGAGCUCAGAAUGAGUUCGGAUUAAGGAUCAAGAAAAUUAGAAGCGACAACGGGACGGAGUUCAAGAAUUCUCAAAUUGAAGGCUUCCUUGAGGAGGAGGGCAUCAAGCAUGAGUUCUCUUCUCCCUACACGCCACAACAAAAUGGUGUAGUGGAGAGGAAGAAUCGAACUCUACUGGACAUGGCAAGAACCAUGCUUGAUGAGUACAAGACUUCGGAUCGGUUUUGGGCCGAGGCGGUCAACACCGCCUGCUACGCCAUCAACCGGUUAUAUCUUCACCGAAUCCUCAAGAAGACAUCGUAUGAACUCCUAACCGGUAAAAAGCCCAAUAUUUCAUAUUUUAGAGUCUUUGGUAGCAAAUGUUUUAUUCUUGUUAAGAGAGGUAGAAAAUCUAAAUUUGCUCCUAAGACUGUAGAAGGCUUUUUACUUGGUUAUGACUCAAACACAAGGGCAUAUAGGGUCUUUAACAAGUCCACUGGACUAGUUGAAGUCUCAUGUGACGUUGUGUUUGAUGAAACUAAUGGCUCUCAAGUAGAGCAAGUUGAUCUUGAUGAGAUAGGUGAUGAAGAGGCUCCAUGCAUCGCGCUAAGGAACAUGUCCAUUGGGGAUGUAUGUCCUAAGGAAUCCGAAGAGCCUCCAAAUGCACAAGAUCAACCAUCCUCCUCCACGCAAGCAUCUCCGCCAACUCAAAAUGAGGAUGAGGCUCAAGUUGAUGAAGUAGAAGAUCAAGCAAAUGAGCUACCUCAAGAUGAUGGCAAUGAUCAAGGGGGAGAUGCAAAUGAGGAAGACAAGGGGGAAGAGGAACAAAGACCGCCACACCCAAGAGUCCACCAAGCAAUCCAACGAGAUCACCCCGUCGACACCAUCCUCGGCGACAUUCAUAAGGGGGUAACUACUCGAUCUCGUGUUGCACAUUUUUGUGAACAUUACUCGUUUGUUUCCUCUAUUGAGCCACACAGGGUAGAGGAAGCACUCCAAGAUUCGGAUUGGGUGGUGGCGAUGCAAGAGGAGCUCAACAACUUCUCUAGGAAUGAGGUAUGGCAUUUAGUUCCACGUCCUAACCAAAAUGUUGUAGGAACCAAAUGGGUCUUCCGCAACAAGCAAGAUGAGCAUGGUGUGGUGACAAGGAACAAAGCUCGACUUGUGGCCAAGGGAUACUCCCAAGUCAAAGGUUUGGAUUUCGGUGAAACCUAUGCACCCGUAGCUAGGCUUGAGCCAAUUCGCAUAUUAUUAGCCUAUGCUACUUACCAUGGCUUUAAGCUUUAUCAAAUGGACGUGAAAAGUGCCUUUCUCAAUGGACCAAUCAAGGAAGAGGUCUAUGUUGAGCAACCUCCCGGCUUUGAAGACAGUGAGUAUCCUAAUCAUGUCUAUAAGCUCUCUAAGGCGCUUUAUGGGCUCAAGCAAGCCCCAAGAGCAUGGUAUGAAUGCCUUAGAGAUUUUCUUAUUGCAAAUGGAUUCAAAGUCGGAAAGGCCGAUCCUACUCUCUUUACUAAAACUCUUGAAAAUGACUUGUUUGUAUGCCAAAUUUAUGUUGAUGAUAUUAUAUUUGGGUCUACUAACGAGUCUACAUGUGAAGAGUUUAGUAGGAUCAUGACAUAGAAAUUCGAGAUGUCUAUGAUGGGGGAGUUGAAGUACUUCUUAGGAUUUCAAGUGAAGCAACUCCAAGAGGGCACCUUCAUUAGCCAAACAAAGUACACUCAAGACAUUCUAAACAAGUUUGGGAUGAAGGAUGCCAAGCCCAUCAAGACACCCAUGGGAACCAAUGGGCAUCUCGACCUCGACACGGGAGGUAAGUCCGUAGAUCAAAAGGUAUACCGGUCGAUGAUAGGUUCUUUACUCUAUUUAUGUGCAUCUCGACCGGAUAUUAUGCUUUCCGUAUGCAUGUGUGCAAGAUUCCAAGCCGACCCUAAGGAAGCUCACCUUACGGCCGUAAAACGAAUCUUGAGAUAUUUGGCUUAUACUCCUAAGUUUGGGCUUUGGUAUCCUAGGGGAUCCACAUUUGAUUUGAUUGGAUACUCGGAUGCCGAUUGGGCGGGGUGUAAAAUCAAUAGGAAGAGCACAUCGGGGACUUGCCAGUUCUUGGGAAGAUCCUUGGUGUCUUGGGCUUCUAAGAAGCAAAAUUCGGUCGCUCUUUCUACCGCCGAAGCCGAGUAUAUUGCCGCAGGCCAUUGUUGCGCGCAAUUGCUUUGGAUGAGGCAAACCUUGCGGGACUACGGUUACAAAUUAACCAAAGUCCCUUUGCUAUGUGAUAAUGAGAGUGCAAUCAAAAUGGCCGACAAUCCCGUCGAGCAUAGCCGCACUAAGCACAUAGCCAUUCGGUAUCAUUUUCUUAGGGAUCACCAACAAAAGGGAGAUAUCGAGAUUUCAUACAUUAAUACUAAAGAUCAAUUAGCCGAUAUCUUUACCAAGCCUCUUGAUGAACAAUCCUUUAACAAACUUAGGCAUGAGCUCAAUAUUCUUGAUUCGCGCAAUUUCUUUUGCUAGAUUGCACACAUUGCUCUUCUAUAUACUUUUGAUCAUAUCUCUUUUAUAUGCUAUGACUAAUGUGCUUUCAAGUCUAUUUCAAACCAAGUCAUAGGUAUAUUGAAAGGGAAAUUGGAGUCUUCGGCGAAGACAAAGGCUUCCACUACGUAACUCAUACUUCGCCGUCACUUCAAGCAUGAGCAUCAAGCAAAAGGACCGGACUUCGUCUUUGGGGGAGAAAUGAGCCCAAGGCGAAAGGACCGGACUUCGUCUUUGGUAUAAUCUUAACUCUUUUUUAUGACCAAAGGGGAAGAUAGCACUCCGAGGGCUCUAAUGAUUCCGUUUUUGGCGAUUCAUGCCAAAAAGGGGGAGAAAUGAGCCCAAAGCAAAAGGACCGCACCACCACCAAUUUCAAAAACUUCAGUGUCGAAUAUUUUCAAUUGAUAUCCUAUUGUGUUCAAAAGGGGGAGAAAGUAGUAUUUCAAAAUGAUAUGUCAAAACCCUCUUGAACACUAAGAGGUGGAUUUCAUUUAGGGGGAGUUUUGUUUAGUCAAAGGAAAAAGCAUUUGAAACAGGGGGAGAAAAUUUCAAAUCUUGAAAAUGCUUUGCAAACUCUUAUUCAUUUACCUUUGACUAUUUGCAAAAGAACUUUGAAAAGGAUUUACAAAAGAAUUUGCAAAAACAAAACUCGUGGUGCAAGCGUGGUCCAAAAUGUUAUAUAAGAAAGAAACAUUCCAUGCAUAUUUCGUAAGUAGUUAUAUUGGCUCAAUUCCAAGCAACCUUUACACUUACAUUAUGCAAACUAGUUCAAUUAUGCACUUCUAUAUUUGCUUUGGUUUGUGUUGGCAUCAAUCACCAAAAAGGGGGAGAUUGAAAGGGAAUUAGGCUUACACCUAGUCCCUAAUUAAUUUUGGUGGUUGAAUUGCCCAACACAAACAAUUGGACUAACUUGUUUGCCCAAGUGUAUAGAUUACACAGGUGUAAAAGGUUCACACUGAGCCAAUAAAAAGACCAAGUUUUGGAUUCAAUAAAAGAGCAAAGGGCCAACCGAAGGCACCUCUGGUCUGGCGCACCGGACUGUCCGGUGCACCAGAGGACUCCAACGCAAACUCGCCACCUUCGGGAAUUUCCAGAGGCGACUCCGCUAUAAUUCACCGGACUGUCCGGUGUACACCGGACAGUGUCCGGUGCGCCAAGGGAGGUCGGCCUCAGGAACUCGCCAGCUUCGGGAAACUCCAACGGCUAGUCCGCUAUAAUUCACCGGACUGUCCGGUGUGCACCGGACUGUCCGGUGCAACUCCGGAGCAACGACUACUCGGCGCCAACGGCUACCUGCAGCGCAUUUAAUGCGCGCUCUGCGCGCGCAGAAGGCAGGCGCGCCCAUUCCGGCGCACCGGACAAUGAACAGUAGUUGUCCGGUGUGCACCUGACACCCAGGCGGGCCCACAAGUCAGAAGCUUCAACGGUCAGAAUCCAACGGCAGUGAUGACGUGGCAGGGGCACCAGACAUGUCCGGUGUGCACCGGACUGUCCGGUGCGCCAUCGAGCAGACAGGCUCCCAACGGCCACAUUUGGUGGUUGGGGCUAUAAAUACCCCAACCACCCCACCAUUCAUUGCAUCCAAGUUUUCCACUUCCCAACUACUACAAGAGCUCUAGCAUUCAAUUCUAGACACACCAAAGAGAUCAAAUCCUCUCCAAAUUCCACACAACGCCAUAGUGACAAGAGAGAGUGAUUUGCUUGUGUUCUUUCGAGCUCUUGCGCUUGGAUUGCUUUCUUCCUUCUUAAUUCUUUCAUUACGAUCAAGCUCACUUGUAAUUGAGGCAAGAGACACCAAACUUGUGGUGGUCCUUGUGGGAACUUUGUGUUCCAAGUGAUUGAGAAGAGAAAGCUCACUCGAUCCGUGGGAUCGUUUGAGAGAGGGAAGGGUUGAAAGAGACCCGGCCUUUGUGGCCUCCUCAACGGGGAGUAGGUUUGCAAGAACCGAACCUCGGUAAAACAAAUCCGCGUGUCACACUCUUCAUUUGCUUGCGAUUUGUUUUGCGCCCUCUCUCGCGGACUCGAUUUCUUUAUUACUAACGCUAACCCGGCUUGUAGAUUGUAUUUAUAUUUGUAAAUUUCAGUUUCGCCCUAUUCACCCCCCCUCUAGGCGACUAUCACACAUAGAUAUAAAACAAAAUAAUUCUUCACCCUUUAGGAAAAAGAAAAGAAAAGUAAGGAAAAGAGAGAGUAAUACCUGAAUUUAGUGGAUAUUAGAAAAUGAAUUUUAUACCCCAAAUUCAGGGUGUUACAAUGUGAAAAUAAUUAUGUGUACAUUAAAAUGAACACAUUUGCAAAACGGGUGAUCUCUUGAUAAGUUAAUUAUUUAUUUUUACCAUAAACUAUUACAUAAAAACAUCGUCACAUGUAAGUUUAAUGGGUCCCUGUGGAAACGGGGAUGGGAAACCCGUCCCCAUUUAUGCAUUGGAGGAUAACUUUUCUAUUUACAUCCCCGUGGGGGAAGAAAUUUCCCCAUCCCCGUCCCCUAUUUGAGGAAUUCCCCGCGUGGAAUAGGGGAUCAGGUCCUAUUGCCAUCUCUAUGCACACGUCUCGUGUGACUAUGUUGCCUUGUCAAUGGUUAGUGCUCAUGUCUUAAACAAACUAUAUGUCGAUGCCAAAGGUUUCUUUAUCUCAAGAAAAUGGUGAUGAAGACCAAGAGACAUGAACGAGUUAUGUGGUAGCAUUAAUGCUCUGGUCAACUUAUAAAUGACCAUUGAAAUUCCUAUUUAUUUUCCCAAUUUAGUUUAAUUCUGUAUCACUAUUUAUGAAUUUUGUAUAGAUUUUUUGGCAAAUUUAUGUUGCUUGUGUCAUGUUUGGAGUGUGAAAUCUAUUUACUUUUGAAAGAAAAAAUGGCAGAAAAAAGGAACCAGUGGCACAAUAAAAAAUUAGAGGAUCCAACCAACCUACUAGCUGGGGUUCCAAAUAGCGUCUAGCUAAUAGUUUAUUUGCGUAUUAUAGUUAACAAUUUGUUAUCCGGUCAAGUAUUAGCUUUAUGGUUCGUCCCCUAUUUGAGGAAUUCCCCGCGUGGAAUAGGGGAUCAGGUCCUAUUGCCAUCUCUAUGCACACGUCUCGUGUGACUAUGUUGCCUUGUCAAUGGUUAGUGCUCAUGUCUUAAACAAACUAUAUGUCGAUGCCAAAGGUUUCUUUAUCUCAAGAAAAUGGUGAUGAAGACCAAGAGACAUGAACGAGUUAUGUGGUAGCAUUAAUGCUCUGGUCAACUUAUAAAUGACCAUUGAAAUUCCUAUUUAUUUUCCCAAUUUAGUUUAAUUCUGUAUCACUAUUUAUGAAUUUUGUAUAGAUUUUUUGGCAAAUUUAUGUUGCUUGUGUCAUGUUUGGAGUGUGAAAUCUAUUUACUUUUGAAAGAAAAAAUGGCAGAAAAAAGGAACCAGUGGCACAAUGAAAAAUUAGUGGAUCCAACCAACCUACUAGCUGGGGUUCCAAAUAGCGUCUAGCUAAUAGUUAAUUUGCGUAUUAUAGUUAACAAUUUGUUACCCGGUUAAGUAUUAGCUUUAUGGUUCCAAACAAGGCCUAAAUAAAGGCCUAAAUAAAGAGAAGAAAAACUGGCCAAACAAGAAUUUGCGCCACACAUAAGCAUCCAAAGAGAACGGGGACACCUGUCGUACAAGGAACAUUAACCUAUUUGGAAGGCUCAGCAUGUGUUGCGGAUGGCAUGUGUUCCUCUUCUCGUCCUCUCCUAAAACGGCGGUACGCCAUACACGCAGGGGCCCGACAGAACAAGUCGUUUGGCUCUUCGACGGUUUCAGUUCAGAAAGCACUCAUAUAUAUAGCCAUGUACUCACCACCCAUUCCAUUCACAAUCACACCACCACCUUUACCACCGAAGAGAGAAACGCGAGCAACCAGCGAUCGCCCCAUGGCCGCCAUGGCUCGUUCCGUCUCCCUCGUCGUGGCGCCCCUGCUCCUCCUCUCCCUCCUCGUCUCCGCCGCGGCCAGCGCGCGGACCGUGGGCGACACCGUGCAGGACGCGUGCAGCAAGACCCAGUUCCCCAAGAUCUGCGUGGACAGCCUCGCCGCCAAGCCGGAGAGCCAGAAGGCGACGCCGCGCAAGCUGGCGGAGCUGUUCGUGAACAUCGCGGCCGAGAAGGGGUCCGGGAUGGCCACCUUCGUGCACCGCAAGUACAGCGACAAGGAGGACAGCGACAUGUUCAGGUGCUACGACAGCUGCUCCGACGACGUGGAGGAGGCCGUCGCCCACCUCAACGGCCUCGUCCGGGAGCCCACCGACGCCAAGUUCCUCGAGCUCAAGUCGUGGCUCUCCUCCACGCUCGGCGGCACCUCCACCUGCGAGGACGCCUGCAAGGACCUGCCCAAGACCAGCGACAAGGACGACGUCGUCAACUUCAGCCUCGACUUCGAGAAGCUGCAGCGCGUCACGCUCGACCUCAUCACCGAGGCGUCCGGCACCAUGUCCGCAGGCAUCGCCCUGCCACCCUCCAACGCCGGAGCGCCCUCCUACGGCGCGGCGGCGCCUUCCGGGGGCU
rnacentral:lncRNA from 1 species